GCAAACUCCUUUUGAUGUGCUCAGAAUCAGAUUGUCCUGUUUGAUGCUUGUUCUUGGAACAGUAAUCUGAGCAUGUGCUUUCUCUUUGAAUUUUGUCUCCAUUCCAAUUUGGGAUUAUUUCUUGAAUGACUGCCUUUGCUAAUUACCUUGUUUUUUUUACUGCAGUGACAACGAGAAUUUUCAUGAACGGCUAUGGCCUUGGUUUAACGCUCCUGUAUUGUGUACAUUCUGUUUUUCCUGCUUUCAUAUUUUCUGUUACAAUUUAUGUUUUGGUUUACUCAUGGUGUGCAUUGAUGUUUGUAGUAUCAUGACGACAUUGCAGGUCCAUUUGGCAUGGUGACGAAUUGGAAUGCUUAUGGAUUAGGCUCAUGGAGGAUUGCAAUUGCUGCAGGUUGCUUCAUGUUUUGACUUGACUCAAGAUUGCAAGUUUGUUCUGUCUUGGUGUGUUCUUGUGUAGGUCACAGAUUCCUGAGUCAGUGUGGUCUUAGGUGAAGCAUCCUUAAAGUCGCAUUUGAUGGCCUCACUUGUGUGUUUGCAAAGUGUGCUUGUUUCUUGCUCUCAUCUCUAAGAGCAAUCAAAGCAGCAUUUCCUUCUAGUGGCAAUAUAAGUCCAGUGAUGAAUAAAUCCUUGAUUUCAAGCAUCUCAAGUGCCUGUGCUGCACCAUUUUCAUCAUGAAGGAUAAAGUCUGUAAGUCUUCUAUUUGGGCGAUCAUUCUCUUGUCCAGCAGUCAUACGGACCGCUAGCAGUUCUCCUUCUACAAACUGA